rnacentral:lncRNA from 1 species
AUGGUAUGUAGCGUGUGGUAUGUAGCGUGUUAUGUAAUGUGUUUACUAGACGUGGUGUGGUAUGUAGUGUGGUAUGUAGAGUGUUAUGGAAGGUGUUUACUAGUCUUGGUCAUGGUAUGUAGCGUGUGGUAUGUAGCGUGGUAUGGAAUGUGUUUACUAGUCUUGGUCGUGGUAUGUAGCGUGUGGUAUGUAGCGUGGUAUGGAAUGUGUUUACUAGUCUUGGUUGUGGUAUGUAGCGUGGUAUGGAAGGUGUUUACUAGUCUUGGCGUGGUAUGUAGUGUGGUAUGUAGCGUGGUAUGUAGUGUGGUAUGUAGCGUGGUAUGUAGUGUGUGGUGUGGUAUGUAG